UAUGAUAAAAUCAGACUCUGUGCUCAGACCUCAUUUUGGUACUCCCUCCUCUGUGUCCACGUGGAAGAGAUUCGUCUAUAAAUACUCGCGCCUCACAGCUGCAUCAGAUUCUGCUCGUCAUGGAGAGAACUAUGCUGCUGCUGUUAUGUCUGCAGGUUUUAUUUCUCACCGCGGUCUUCAUUUCUACUGAUGCAGUUGCUCUGCUCAAAGCUGAUCAAGAACAUCUGUCUGUUGAUCUGGGCACGAAAAUGACUGUAAAUGGCAAUGAAAGGGUGAAACAAAGAGCCAAGCGAGAACCCUUCAACUGUGGCCAGAACCCGGGUGAUUGCACUCUCAUCAGCAUGAUACAACCAAUGGAGAUCAAACCAACGUCAAACCCUGCAACUGACAACUGAAUAAAGAAAUUGUAAAUGUUCCAAUAUCUAAACACCCUUCUGUGCUCGCUACAAAAUCAAGGCCGGUCAAGAGAAGACACAGUAGUAGUAGUUUGUAUCAUGAACAUAGCAUUGGCAGUGUCUUGUUAAUAUCUAAUAUGUAAUAUCUACAAUAUGGGUCAAUAAUCCUCCUUAAUCCUGCACUGCAUGUCUGCUGCCAUUAUGUAGAAGCGCUUUAAGUAUUAAGCUUUUUUUCUUUUUCUAUUGUCACAUGUGGACUUCCAUCAAAUAAAAACCAAAUAAAAUAGUAUGUCUACCA
rnacentral:lncRNA from 1 species